rnacentral:rRNA from 1 species
GUUAGUGGCGACGGGUGAGUAACACGUGGGCAAUCUGCCCUUCACUCUGGGACAAGCCCUGGAAACGGGGUCUAAUACCGGAUACUGACCCUCCUGGGCAUCUUGGCGGGUCGAAAGCUCCGGCGGUGAAGGAUGAGCCCGCGGCCUAUCAGCUUGUUGGUGAGGUAAUGGCUCACCAAGGCGACGACGGGUAGCCGGCCUGAGAGGGCGACCGGCCACACUGGGACUGAGACACGGCCCAGACUCCUACGGGAGGCAGCAGUGGGGAAUAUUGCACAAUGGGCGAAAGCCUGAUGCAGCGACGCCGCGUGAGGGAUGACGGCCUUCGGGUUGUAAACCUCUUUCAGCAGGGAAGAAGCGAAAGUGACGGUACCUGCAGAAGAAGCGCCGGCUAACUACGUGCCAGCAGCCGCGGUAAUACGUAGGGCGCAAGCGUUGUCCGGAAUUAUUGGGCGUAAAGAGCUCGUAGGCGGCUUGUCACGUCGGUUGUGAAAGCCCGGGGCUUAACCCCGGGUCUGCAGUCGAUACGGGCAGGCUAGAGUUCGGUAGGGGAGAUCGGAAUUCCUGGUGUAGCGGUGAAAUGCGCAGAUAUCAGGAGGAACACCGGUGGCGAAGGCGGAUCUCUGGGCCGAUACUGACGCUGAGGAGCGAAAGCGUGGGGAGCGAACAGGAUUAGAUACCCUGGUAGUCCACGCCGUAAACGGUGGGCACUAGGUGUGGGCAACAUUCCACGUUGUCCGUGCCGCAGCUAACGCAUUAAGUGCCCCGCCUGGGGAGUACGGCCGCAAGGCUAAACUCAAGGAAUUGACGGGGGCCCGCACAAGCGGCGGAGCAUGGUG